GUGGCUGCACUCACUUCCUUC
rnacentral:miRNA from 1 species